GUGAGGAAUAUUGCGCAAUGGAGGCAACUCUGACGCAGCCAUGCCGCGUGCAGGAAGAAGGCGCUACGCGUUGUAAACUGCUUUUAACCGGGAAGAAACCCCAGGACGUGUCCUGGGUUGACGGUACCGGAGGAAUAAGCACCGGCUAACUUCGUGCCAGCAGCCGCGGUAAAACGAAGGGUGCAAGCGUUAUCCGGAUUCAUUGGGUUUAAAGGGUGCGUAGGCGGAGCGUUAAGUCAGUGGUGAAAUCCUGCAGCUUAACUGUAGACUUGCCAUUGAUACUGGCGCUCUUGAGUGCGCUUGAAGUGGGCGGAAUGUGCCGUGUAGCGGUGAAAUGCUUAGAUAUGGCACAGAACACCAAUUGCGAAGGCAGCUCACUAAGGCGAUACUGACGCUGAGGCACGAAAGCGUGGGGAUCGAACAGGAUUAGAAACCCGUGUAGUCC
rnacentral:rRNA from 1 species